GAUGAGAACGCAGCGAAAUGCGAUAAGUAAUGUGAAUUGCAGAAUUCAGUGAAUCAUCGAAUCUUUGAACGCACCUUGCGCCCUUUGGCUAUUCUGAAGGGCAUGCCUGUUUGAGUAUCAUGAACACCUCAACUCUCAUGGUUUGCCAUGAUGAGCUUGGACUUUGGGGGUCUUGCUGGCCUACGGUCAGCUCCUCUCAAAUGAAUCAGCUUGCCAGUGUUUGGUAGAGUCGCAGGUGUGAUAACUAUCUACGCUUGUGGUUUUCUGCCAGAUAACCUUCAGUGAUGGAGGUUCGCUGGAGCUUAUAAAUGUCUCUCCCCAGUGAGGACAGCUUUUUGAACGUUUGAUCUCAAAUCAGGUAGGACUACCCGCUGAACUUAAGCAUAUCAAUAAGCGGAGGA
rnacentral:misc_RNA from 1 species